rnacentral:rRNA from 1 species
UACGUAGGUGGCGAGCGUUGUCCGGAUUUACUGGGCGUAAAGGGCGUGCAGGCGGUUUGUUAAGUGCAGGGUGAAAGCUCCCGGCUCAACUGGGAGAGGUCCUUGCAUACUGGCGAACUCGAGGGAGGCAGAGGAAAGUGGAAUUCCCGGUGUAGUGGUGAUAUGCGUAGAUAUCGGGAGGAAUACCUGUGGCGAAGGCGGCUUUCUGGGCCUUACCUGACGCUGAGACGCGAAAGCGUGGGGAGCGAACCGG